rnacentral:rRNA from 1 species
GGAGGAUGCAAGCGUUAUCCGGAUUCAUUGGGUUUAAAGGGUGCGUAGGCGGGGGGCAAUCAGUCAGUGGUGAAAUCCUGCGGCUUAACCGUAGAACUGCCAUUGAUACUGUUGUCCUUGAGUAUAGUUGAAGUGGGCGGAACAUGUAAUGUAGCGGUGAAAUGCAUAGAUAUUACAUAGAACACCAAUUGCGAAGGCAGCUCACUAAGCUAUCACUGACGCUGAGGCACGAAAGCGUGGGGAGCGAACAGGAUUAGAUACCCUGGUAGUCCACGCUGUAAACGAUGAUCACUCGUUGUUGGCAAUACAUCGUCAGCGACUGAGCGAAAGCAUUAAGUGAUCCACCUGGGGAGUACGGUCGCAAAGAUUGA